rnacentral:tRNA from 2 species
GCCCGGUUAGCUCAGUCGGUAGAGCAUAAGACUCUUAAUCUUAGGGUCGCGGGUUCGAGUCCCGUACCGGGUG